rnacentral:rRNA from 1 species
CCUACGGGAGGCAGCAAUCAGGAAUCUUGCGCAAUGGGCGAAAGCCUGACGCAGCGACGCCGCGUGACUGAUGAAGUCUUUCGGGAUGUAAAGGUCUUUUCUGUGGGAAGAAGGAUGUGACGGUACCACAGGAAUAAGCCCCGGCUAACUACGUGCCAGCAGCCGCGGUAAUACGUAGGGGGCGAGCGUUGUCCGAAUUUACUGGGCGGAAAGCGCGCGUAGGCGGGUUAUUACGUUGGUGGUGAAAUUCCGGGGCUCAACUUCGGAACUGCCGCCAAAACUGGUAGCCUUGAGGUAUGGAGAGGAAAGUGGAAUUCCUGGUGGAGCGGUGAAAUGCGUAGAUAUCAGGAGGAACACCCAUGGCGAAGGCAGCUUUCUGGCCAUAUCCUGACGCUGAGGUGCGAAAGCCAGGGGAGCGAACG